UACGUAGGGUGCGAGCGUUGUCCGGAAUUAUUGGGCGUAAAGAGCUCGUAGGCGGCUUGUCGCGUCGGAUGUGAAAGCCCGGGGCUUAACUCCGGGUCUGCAUUCGAUACGGGCGGGCUAGAGUUCGGUAGGGGAGACUGGAAUUCCUGGUGUAGCGGUGAAAUGCGCAGAUAUCAGGAGGAACACCGGUGGCGAAGGCGGGUCUCUGGGCCGAUACUGACGCUGAGGAGCGAAAGCGUGGGGAGCGAACAGG
rnacentral:rRNA from 1 species